GGGGGCGACACGGCUUCGACGUGGGUCGCGAAACCUCCGGAGCAUGCCGAGGUGCAGAGUUCCUCGUAAAACCAGCUGCAAACCAAUAGUUGCCAACGACGACAACUACGCCUUAGCGGCUUAAUCCCCGCUAACCUCUCACCCGCGUUUCGCCUGUGGGCCGGACUGAGAGGUCGAUCACACAGGAUCGCGUAGCCCCGUGCCUGUUGGGUCUGCGCUAAAUCGAAGCAGGCUAAACCUGUCGACACCCUGUCUGUUGGGAGACGGCAGGCGAAAACGAUAACAGACUACGCAUGUAGAACCGGACGGCGGAGGACUUGCGGACGCGGGUUCGAUUCCCGCCGCCUCCACCA
rnacentral:tmRNA from 1 species